rnacentral:rRNA from 1 species
AUUGAACGCUGGCGGCAGGCCUAACACAUGCAAGUCGAGCGGAUGAAGGGUGCUUGCUCCUGGAUUCAGCGGCGGACGGGCGAGUAAUGCCUAGGAAUCUGCCUGGCAGUGGGGGAUAACGUCCGGAAGCGGGCGCUAAUACCGCAUAAGUCCUGAGGGCGAACGUGGGGGAUCUUCGGACCUUACGCUAUCAGAUGAGCCUAGGUCGGAUUAGCUAGUUGGUGGGGUAAAGGCCUACCAAGGCGACGAUCCGUAACUGGUCUGAGAGGAUGAUCAGUCACACUGGAACUGAGACACGGUCCAGACUCCUACGGGAGGCAGCAGUGGGGAAUAUUGGACAAUGGGCGAAAGCCUGAUCCAGCCAUGCCGCGUGUGUGAAGAAGGUCUUCGGAUUGUAAAGCACUUUAAGUUGGGAGGAAGAGCAGUAAGUUAAUACCUUGCUGUUUUGACGGUACCAACAGAAUAAGCACCGGCUAACUUCGUG